CAUAUCUUUUUGCAAUUCAAUUUUUAUAUGGUUUAUACUAUGGAGUAGAUUAAUGCUUAGAUGCACUUGGCACAGAACAACAUAACUGAAAUUAGGAGUGAUGCAUUGAAGCUGAUUUUGAUGCAUAAGAGGCCAAUUCCUCGUGUUUCCACAACAAUUGGUGCUUGGCUGAACAUAUUUCAGUUCAUUUGUUGUUACAUCCAUAUGCACCAACUGCGCCCUUCUAGUAUGGUUAUAUGAUCAUGAGGGGAAAUGGAAUAUAGAGCCUGGCAUAGCUGCAAUUCUGGUUAUGGAACAUAUCCUCCUGUUGAUUAAGUUUGGUUUCUCUCGCCUUGUACCCGAGGGCAGCUGGUACUAGUGCUUGCUUAAGAAGGAAGAAUGAGGUUGGAGGUGGAACGUUUUGGUAGCUUCUGGAAAUUAUAAAAACAGUAGUUCUCCAAAAGCUGAUUUUUUGAGUUUCUGCAAAUUUUCAGUUUAGGAUGCAGUCACCAAUUUUGUUUUCUUGUUUUUGGUUUUUGCGUUGUUCCUAUAGUAGAUUGAGUUGCUGGUUUUGUAAGUAGACGUGUAGGACCAUACAACAUUGAUUUUUAUGUUCUUGAGUUAAAUGCCUCACUAAGCUGCAUUGAUUUUUAUGUUCUUGAGUUGCUGGUUUGUAUCAGUUUGUUGGUUUCCAGUG